CUCUGGCCGCCAAUCCUCCGUUACGCAUGACAGCACCUGCCGGCGAGACCUGCAAAUCCCUUGCGGCCGCCCACGAUCGUCUAUUAGGAGAACCACAUUACACCUCCCAACUUGCUGCUGGAGCCCCUCUCAGCUACCCCCGCCCGAAGAAAGGUGAGGAGGACAGCGGCGGUGUUGUUCCCGUUUGAGCGACUGGAUCCGAUCGAGAAGGGCACGAAUGGCUAAACAACGAAGGCUACGGCGCCGGCCAAGUUUGAGUACCGUUCAGGCCGUCGAGUGGGCUCCUAUCAUUAGAAUCUGAAAAACGGUUACCAGACCCAUCAUUGGAAUCGAAAAAAUGAUUGUCCAUCACGUUCGAAGAGCAGGCCCAUCAUCCGAAUGGGAAGAACGGUUCUCCUUCUACACGAGUUAACUAUAUCUGCCGGUGCCGUAAUGAUGGAUUGAUGAUGGUGGUAAUUUCGACCCAUUCUUAAUUCUUGCAAUUAUGCUCCCUCCCGUGAUUAUGACGAUUAGUUGGAGCGUUACUUUGAGUUCUCCCUUCUCGUUCAUAUAAAUAUGUGGACACAGCCCAUGUCUUUCCUCAGUACUUCCAUCUCACAUUGGACGUCUCAUUAUUCAUCCAAGAUACUUGUUGCUUAGGGAUUGUCGCCUUCGUUUCUUCCAGAUUCUUAUUCACGGAUUUCUCGGAGCAACUGUGUGACCUUCAUUAUUUCACAAUGGGGCUGGACAGGAUAAGCCUCCAUAGAAAAAAAUCACAAAGCGUUCUCGACCACGAAUCCAAGUUAACCAUGCCUACCAACCACGUUUUUUCACGGCUCAGGAAGGCAAGAGCAGCAUGAUUGGGUAGCAGUUUAGAGGCCUCUACAUAUGACUGAUGAGGUCUCUGGAGAGCCAAACAUCUUGUACAUUUCCCCCCGGUAUUAUAGGGCUCCUGAACUUAUGUUUGGAGCUACAGAGUUUACAACAGAAACUGAUAUUUGGUGUGUUGGUUGUGUACUAGCUGAGCUUCUGAUUGGUCAGGUAUAUAAUCUGAUUCUGGAAGCUCAGAUUUCUUCCAUCCAAGUUCAUUAGUUCAUAUUAUACUUCUUUAAACAAUACAAAUUGAUUUCGUAAGAAGGAUUUUAUUUUACGAUUAUAGAGUCUAUUAUUGGUUUAUUGCUGAAAGUAAGAAUUUUGGAGUCUGUGAACACUGGAGUGGAUCAGCAGCAUCUAGAACGCCACAUAUCAUAUCACUGAAGUAUGGUGCAUAUUUAUUUGAAGUUAUUUCAUUUUAGAAUGCUAAUGCUUGGUCAAUCAAGUUCAUAAUUGUUUGUUCUGUUUGCAAACUGCUUUUUGUACAUGAGAUGGACUUUUUAUUGACUAUUUUUUCCCGUUAGCAUGGUAAAUUGCAGAUUAUGUUUCCUGCAGAAUGUGGAGUUGAUCAAUUGGUCGAAAUAAUAAAGGUUUGUAGCUCCCGCCAAACCAUGAGGGUCAGUAAAGUAGACAAUAUUAGCUAUGGACUAUGAUGUAAAGAUUCAUCCGCCCCCUUGUGAUGGUUACUUAUAAUAUUCAGGAAAGUGGCAUCAAAAGAAAACAGUUCUGUCUACAACUGUAGGUUUGAUGCAGCAGUGAACUUGGACUAUAAAUUACAAGUUCUUUCUGGAACUGUAACUAAGGCUCCCUUGCUGUGCUAUCAUGGAUUCUGCAUCGUACUAAUUAAUCUCAUGUUUUUGUUUUGUCUUCCGUUAUUGCAAAAUCUGAACUGUAAUUACUCGGACUAUCUAAACCAGAGUUAGUCCAGCUUGGAUGAAUCAUCAAAGUUUGGUACUUGGAAUCGCUUACUGAAUCGAUUGAUCUAGAAGAUUUAUGUGGAGAUAAUUAGACGGUGGUGCCACAACAGUACAUGACAAAAGAUAGGAAGCUCUACUGUGUAUGUCUGAUUCUUCAUCGAAUUCAUUCUAGCAUAUUGUGAGCAAGAUGGACACUUUCAGAGUUCUUUAUUUGUGUACUAUACAAGCCAAACAUCAGGACUUCUGUACAACAGCCCAAAAUCUGUUGGAAGAUUGGUGAUGUGACUUUCUUCCCCGAAAGAAUUGAUGCACAGAAGAUAUAUUAAGAGAUUGAUGCAUGAUGUUGGUAAGCACAAUGGUGAUUUGAUAAUUUUGUUUAUGUGUUUCUGUGUUUUUUGUGUUUCUGUAAAGAGUACUUUAUGCAUAUAUGAGAUUAUUUAUAUUCCCAAAUCUAUCGUUAUGGUUCUUCUAUAUACAUUUUCCAUAAUACGCCUCUGUAGGAUUUUGUUUCUUUGUAUGUUCUGCUGCCUUCUUCUCGCCACGUUUCAUCACAAAGAGCAAAACAUGCAAUAUUUAGUGAUUUAAUGAUCAAUUUUAGCCUUGCAUAUUUGUUUAACUGAUGCAUCAAAUCAGUACCUUGAACUGGCUUUUGUUGCUGUCUUUGCCACAUAUCCAUUUUCCAAUUUCUUCUUCACCUGUUUCUUCAUAUAAUUUCUGGAGGGUCGUUGUUGUCCAAGGUAUGUAAUAUGUAUAUAUCUUCCCUUUUGUUCACACAUCCCGCAGUUGCGUCCUUCUAAAUGUAGAUAUUAAACGAUAUGCUCAUCUGUCGCAAUAAGGUGUUCUGACUGUAAGAUCUUGCUUGAUGUGAAGCUCAUUUAGUACUUAACUGCAAAAUAAAGUUCUUUUUGAGUGGAAGGUCUGUGACUUGGGAAGUUCAAUUAGGUAAUUGCACGUAAGUUGCUUUUCAUUUUAGAAAAUCAUAUAAACUGGUGGUCUGUUCUACAGCAAUUUAAUUUAAAUUAUCUUCACAUAUUCUUGUGGCAUUCUCCAAUUCAAAAACAACACCGUUAUUUUGGGGCUAUUACCUCAUGUUCUUUUUUUACGAAAGCAGUCAGCGCUGCAUUCUUUUAUAUAUAGACGAAGAUGAAACAAGGUACUGUAGUACAUAAAGUGGCCAGAGGCCAAUCCAGUUUACGCAUCCAAGAGUAAACUAAACUGCACUAGCUCAUUCUAUGCAGUGUGGUGAUGCUAAGACUGAUGCAGACAUAACCAAAACAGACCAGGAAACCAUAAAUACGAGAUCUGAAGGUGGUCAGUAUGCUAUCUGAUUGACCCUCUUCUCAUGACACCAAGUGGGCACUAAGUGCCACGAAUUCACAUAUGGCAACCUAUUGAUGAUAUUUUUCCCCCCUAUUGAUAGUACCACUGUAGCAUAAAUUUGCAGCUAUUAUAUUUUGCUUCUGGACAAUUAUAUUUGAAGCAAAUUCGUUAAAUGAAUUCCUUUUGAGACAAUAAACUUUUAGUGUUUUUGAACUGUGAGUAUUACCCUAUCUUUUGUUGUCAGUAUCUGGCUUGGUGGCUCCAUAACAAAACCUAAAAUCGUUUUAUGUCCAGUAUGUAGACCGCCUUCCAGCCACAGGAAAGACCUUAAGAUUGUCACAGAUAUGCUUAGACUUGAUGCAACCAGCUAAGCUAGCACACCAUGGCUCGUAUUCUCGGUCAAUUGAACUGACUUGUAUUCACCAUCUACAUGUCCUAAUAAUAACCAUAUAUAGUUGAAGGUCCAAGCUCAAAGCAACUCCAAACCUAUUAUAUAACCAGUCUUGUCGAGAAUUGCAUUGGAGCUCCUGGGUGCCACGCCCACCAUGCCCCUCCGCGACACUUUCCCUUGGUCCACACGUUUGCUGCUGUAUAGAGAUUUGUAUUAUGUUUAACUGAAGAAAAAUAUUGUAAACGAUUUUACUGAACAUACAUGCGCACUAAUGCAUUGGGAUCUCACUCAACAUGGAUGAUGUUUGGAAUCCGUCCAAGGUCAAUUGACCUGCUAAUGUCACGUCCAGGUCUUGUAUCCUGGGUACUAUCGGCUCAAGACUCAACCUCGUCUUACUCACUCGACCACAGUAUAGAAAAAAUUGUCUGGCUAGCCUAAACCACUGAUCUCCCAACCAUUGAUCUAUUCAGUCCCCGAGAUCUCUUAAUUAUCUGUGUGUUGUAGAAAAAUUUGGGGCUUUUAGUUCCAACAAUGGUUGUAAUAUUACUUGUUAAAAAUCAACUAUUCAGUUAUGCCAAAUGUAUGAUUCAGUUCUUGCAAGUGUAAUUUUCGUCUUUCAUGUUGCCAUAUAUUUAAAAAAUUACAACCAAUUUACUGAAUAAUAGAUGGGCGCGGCAACGUGCGCCAUUAUGAUCUAGUAGCUCAUAUAAGAUGCCAGGACCAUGUGGAAAUGUAAAAUCUGCAGCCUCUUCACUGAAUGCAUGAUCUGAGGCGUUGUUGAAACACACAACAAGCAGUGCAGUAUCCGGUUGAAUCCCAUUGGUGAAACUGAAUACCACCACUAGGUCCCCCAGGACUAAUUAUUGGGUCGCCACUGUUUACCUUGACCUUAACUUCUUCAGUGUCUAGUUUGGUGAUGUCGACUUUAAGAUGUAGGCAACUCCAGCAAGCAGCAGCAUGGAGUACAGGAUUAAUGCCAUCAGAAGCAAUAUAUUGUAUGCAUGCACUCAAGCUAAGAAAUAAGUAGUCAGCCGUCGUCUGGACGAACUGAACUUGAUGGCCCACUGCAUAUUUAUCUAGCAUCAUAUCGUGUAUGAUAUACUUUUUUUUUGCGAAUGUGUAUGAUAUACAAAACACCAGGAUCCCAAUUCCCACGUGUAAUUAGUAUUG